rnacentral:rRNA from 1 species
AGAGUUUGAUCCUGGCUCAGGAUGAACGCUAGCGGCAGGCUUAACACAUGCAAGUCGAGGGGCAGCACGGGUAGCAAUACCUGGUGGCGACCGGCGCAAGGGUGCGUAACGCGUGAGCAACAUGCCCUAUACAGGGGGAUAAUCCAGGGAAACUUGGUCUAAUAUCCCAUAGUAUUUAGAGGAGGCAUCUUCUAUAAAUUAAAGCUUCGGUGGUAUAGGAUUGGCUCGCGUGACAUUAGCUAGAUGGUGAGGUAACGGCUCACCAUGGCAAUGAUGUCUAGGGGUUCUGAGAGGAAGGCCCCCCACACUGGGACUGAGACACGGCCCAGACUCCUACGGGAGGCAGCAGUGAGGAAUAUUGGACAAUGGAUGGAAAUCUGAUCCAGCCAUGCCGCGUGCAGGAAGACAGCCCUAUGGGUUGUAAACUGCUUUUAUAUGGGAGCAAUAAGGUCUACGUGUAGACUGAUGAGAGUACCAUAUGAAUAAGCAUCGGCUAACUCCGUGCCAGCAGCCGCGGUAAUACGGAGGAUGCGAGCGUUAUCCGGAUUUAUUGGGUUUAAAGGGUGCGUAGGCGGCCGAGUAAGUCAGCGGUGAAAUUUUGCAGCUUAACUGUAACAGUGCCGUUGAUACUGCAUGGCUAGGAUUUGGUUGCUGUGGGUGGAAUGUGUGGUGUAGCGGUGAAAUGCUUAGAUAUCACACAGAAUAUCAAUUGCGAAGGCAGCUCACAAAGCCAAGAUUGACGCUGAGGCACGAAAGUGUGGGGAUCAAACAGGAUUAGAUACCCUGGUAGUCCACACUGUAAACGAUGAUAACUCACUGCCGGCGAUACACAGUCGGUGGCCAAGCGAAAGCGAUAAGUUAUCCACCUGGGGAGUACGACCGCAAGGUUGAAACUCAAAGGAAUUGACGGGGGCCCGCACAAGCGGAGGAACAUGUGGUUUAAUUCGAUGAUACGCGAGGAACCUUACCCGGGCUUGAAUUGCAACUGAAUGAUGUGGAAACAUGUCAGCCGCAAGGCAGUUGUGAAGGUGCUGCAUGGUUGUCGUCAGCUCGUGCCGUGAGGUGUCGGCUUAAGUGCCAUAACGAGCGCAACCCUUG